UCAAACACCAGUCUUUGUCCAAUCACCGAAGUUAAGCAAUGUCAAGCGUGGUUAGUACCUAGGUGGGUGUCUGCUUGGGAAUAUCAGGUGCUGUAAG